GCGGGAAUUGCCAAGUCUGGUCUACGGCGCUGGACUCAGAAUCCAGUGACAAAGGUCUUCGGGGGUUCGAAUCCCUCUUCCCGCA
rnacentral:tRNA from 1 species